rnacentral:rRNA from 1 species
UAGGGAAUCUUCGGCAAUGGGGGGAACCCUGACCGAGCAACGCCGCGUGAGUGAAGAAGGUUUUCGGAUCGUAAAGCUCUGUUGUUAAGGAAGAACGAGUGUGAGAAUGGAAAGUUCAUACUGUGACGGUACUUAACCAGAAAGGGACGGCUAACUACGUGCCAGCAGCCGCGGUAAUACGUAGGUCCCGAGCGUUGUCCGGAUUUAUUGGGCGUAAAGCGAGCGCAGGCGGUUAGAUAAGUCUGAAGUGAAAGGCAGUGGCUCAACCAUUGUAGGCUUUGGAAACUGUUUAACUUGAGUGCAGAAGGGGAGAGUGGAAUUCCAUGUGUAGCGGUGAAAUGCGUAGAUAUAUGGAGGAACACCGGUGGCGAAAGCGGCUCUCUGGUCUGUAACUAACGCUGAGGCUCGAAAGCGUGGGGAGCGAACAGG